CCUACGGGUGGCUGCAGUGGGGAAUAUUGGACAAUGGGGGCAACCCUGAUCCAGCCAUGCCGCGUGUGUGAAGAAGGCCCUCGGGUUGUAAAGCACUUUCAGUGAGGAAGAACGCCUGGUGGUUAAUACCCAUCAGGAAAGACAUCACUCACAGAAGAAGCACCGGCUAACUCCGUGCCAGCAGCCGCGGUAAUACGGAGGGUGCGAGCGUUAAUCGGAAUUACUGGGCGUAAAGCGCGCGUAGGUGGCUUGAUAAGCCGGUUGUGAAAGCCCCGGGCUCAACCUGGGAACGGCAUCCGGAACUGUCAAGCUAGAGUGCAGGAGAGGAAAGUAGAAUUCCCGGUGUAGCGGUGAAAUGCGUAGAGAUCGGGAGGAAUACCAGUGGCGAAGGCGGCCUUCUGGACUGACACUGACACUGAGGUGCGAAAGCGUGGGUAGCAAACAGGAUUAGAUACCCCUGUAGUC
rnacentral:rRNA from 1 species